AAUUUUGGACAUGAUUAUUUUUAUCUUGUUUUUCUGUUAUUUCGGUUCUAAAUUCGAUUGUAUUAUCAGCUUGUUUUUCUCAGUGAGACAAAGAUGCACUUAUGGGAUCGAGCUGUACCCUUCGAAUAAUCUACUUUCUUGUUCUCUCCAGUUCUUUUUUGCUAUUUUCUUUCUCCCUUUUUCUGUCCUUGUUGGUAGCUUUGAGUUUGCAUUGCUCUUUCUCUCUAGUUUCUUUGUCUAAUUUUGAUAAUUCCGUUUUGCUUACGUCACUGUCUUGUUUGCUACCCCGUCUUCAACGCUCGAUGAUCCAUUCUGUCUCUGAAUUUCGUGAGUGGAGGUUGUAAAUUUAACUUUUUCCUUUGAUUCCAUUUUUAUUUAGCUUAUGCUAAAUUUUCUAUUUAUUACAAUAUGUAGUUGAUCAGAGACAGAUUUCAUUCAUCACAAGUUGUGAUAUUAUUAUUUUCUUUAUUUUUUUUUAUUUCCUUUUUAAAUAUGUAAAUUUUCUUGUUUGUUAUAAAAAAAAAAAAAAGAAAAGUAAUCAUGUCCGAAAAUUUAAUUGAGUAUUUAUUCUAGCUGGCCUAAGUUAUGGCAAUUUAUUUAUAUUUGUUGAAAACCUCAUUCAUCACAUAUGUAUCCAUAGUAAUUUCUACAAUUUCCGCUGUACAGCGGUCAUAGACUCAUAGACUCAUAGACUCAUAGACUCGUAGACUCGUAGACUCGUAGUAUCACUGGAUGUCUUAGUUAUGGCCAUGGAAGCUGAAUCCUUGCUGACCAACUCAUCACAAGGAAACCAAUAUUUCCAGAAAAGAUCUAAAUUCGCAGUAAAAAGGAUACUUCAAGAACUUCUUGUGCAGUGAAAAAUUAAUAAGUGAAAAAUUUGAAUAAAGUGUACGGAGGCCUCCUCACUUCAAUACACCAGGUAUUUACGAAACAACCAAUAUUAAUUUAUGGAAAAUUCACAGGCAACUACUUCGCAAAAAUAAAUGGGACAGGAUAAUAAAUAAAUUUGUAAUUACUUGA